rnacentral:lncRNA from 10 species
AUGCACCGGAGAUCUCUCCAGCACCAGGAGCAGCCGCUGGACAGCAAGGAGCGGCAGCCUAUGGUUAGCCAUUGGGAGAUCUCCGCCAGGGCCCUGGGUUCUCUGUGCAGACAGUUCCAAAGAAGGCUGCCCCUAAGAGCCGUCAACCUCAACCUCCGGACAGGUACCUCCUAGAAACCCCUAGAAACCAGGGUCAGGGCAGUAAGAGACUCCAGGCUGCAGCUCGCUCAGCUAAGAGCACCCUGGGUGCCAUGUCACAGAGAAUCCAGGAGUCCUGCCAAAGUAGCACCAAGUGUCUGGUGGAGACCCAGGUGAAGGCCAGGAGGAGGAAGAAAGGGGUACAAAAGGGAGAGCAGUGUCUCCCCAACUCACAGCCUGAGCCAGAAGAGGAUUCAGCUGUAUGGAGCUGCCCCUGACCACUCAGCUACAGACCCCUGUGCAUCACCACCUCUCUACCUGGACAGGCUCACGUGCCUACCCUCUACGGCAGUGGAGGCGGGAGACUGCCUUCCAGAGCCCCUACUCCUUGACAGAGCUCCUCUGCUCUCCCAGCGCAUCUGAUAGUGACCUAGCACCUAUGGGGAGCAGGAAUUCGGCAUCUCCAGAAGCUGUCCCAAGAGCUGGAUGAAGCCAUUAUGGCGGAAGAGAGUGGUGAAAUGACACUCUCAUUCAUGACUGAGGAAGUGCCCUGCAGGAAACAAGCCCUGUCUGACCACCAAGGCUUCGUACCCCAGAAUGUCUGUGCUUCCCCAUGA